AGUUUCUUGUAAUUUAUUAAGAAAUAUUUUCUGCUCAGUGAUUUUAAACAGCCGCGGUAAUUUGACCGUGCGAAGGUAGCAUAAUCAUUUGCCUUGUAAUUUGGGGCUGGAAUGAAUGGAAAGACAGAGGGGAGCCUUUCUUCUUUUUUUCUGUAGAAUUUGUUUUUUUCGUGAAGAAACGGGAAUAGAGUAAAGGGACAAGAAGACCCUUUUGAGCUUUAUUUUGUUGUGUCUUUCUUUGGAAGGGGGCAUAGAAUUUGAUUGGGGCGAUCAAGGAAGAUAAGAUCUUCCUUUAUUUGAUGUAUUAAGAAUUGAGAUUUUGGAUCCUUAGUUUUUGAGUGAAAGAAUAAGUUACCAAAGGGAUAACAGCGUAAUUUUUUCUGUGAGUUCUUAUUAAAGAUAAAGAUUGCGACCUCGAUGUUGACUUUUUAGCUUCCUUUUGGUGUAGCAGCUAUGUGGGAGGGUCUGUUCGACCUUUAAAUUGAA
rnacentral:rRNA from 1 species